rnacentral:sRNA from 1 species
CAAUUGUUCAGUAUCUAGACCUUACUCCAAAUCAGGAAUACUUGUUUGAAAGGAUCAAAGAACUCUCUCAGGGAGGUUGUAUGAGCUCAUUUCGAUGGAACAGAGGUGGCGACUUCAAAGGACGAAAGUGGGAUACAGACCUGCCCACCGAUUCUGCUGUAAGCCCCUAGAUUCAUUCAUUCAUUUAUUUAUUUACUGUUGAUUGACUGACUGACACAGGGUCUUACUCUGUCACCCAGGCUGUAGUGCAGUGGCACAGUCACAUCUCACUGCAGCUUUGAUCUCCCAGGGCUCAAGUGCUCCUCCCAGCUCAGUCUCCCAAGUAGCUGGGACUAGGCCUGAACCACCACACCCAGCUAAUUUUUUAAAUUUUUUGUAGAGAUGGUGUCUCACUUUUUUGCCCAGGCUGGUCUCGAAGUCCUGGGUUCGAGUGAUCCCCCUGCCUCAGCUUCCCAAAGUGCUGGGUUUACAGACACGAGCUACUGUGCCUCACCCUUA